GACAACCAGCCUUGCUCACGAAGCGUCAGCCGAGAGACCGGGUUUCACCAUGUUGGCCAGGCUGGCCUCGAACUCUUAACCUCAAGUGAUCUGCCUGCUUUUGGCUCCCAAAGUGCUGGGAUUACAGGCCUGAGUCACCACGCCCAGCUUGAGAUCCAUUAUUUAUUCUUCUCCAUCUUGUUCUGUGUUCCUGGAAGCCAACCUUUAUAAGCUGCAGGAAAUGGAUUUCCUACUCUCCACCUUCUGAUUGGGCUUGACCAACGGGGAGCACUGGCAGAAGACAAGCAUGGGAGGAAAAAGAGAUCAGGGCUGGAGUGCAGUGGCGUGAUCUCGGCUAGCUACAACCUCCACCUCCCAGCCGCCUGCCUUGGCCUCCCAAAGUGCCGAGAUUGCAGCCUCUGCCUGGCCGCCACCCCGUCUGGGAAGUGAGGAGCGCCUCUGCCCGGCCGUGACCCCGUCUGGGAACUGAGGAGUGUCUCUGCCCGACCGCCACCCCAUCUGGGAGGCCCAGCAUCCAAUUCAGUCGCCUUCAAGGAGUCUCUUCAGUCUAAUUUAUUCUAGAACAAUUCUUCAGGCUUCCCUUCUCUGGCCAAGAUUUUUGAAAAAUACAGGUCAAUGACUUUGUAGGUUGUCUUCAGUUUGGAUUUGUCUGCUGUGUCCUCAUGAUUUAUGCAUCUCUGGCAGGAAUACCACAGAAACGAUGCGACAUUCUUCUCAGUGUACCAUAUUAGGAGUCACACAAUGUCAACUUGUCCCAUUACUGCUGAUGUUAAUGUUUACCACUUGGCUAAGAUGAUGUCUGCCAGGUUUCUCCACUGGAAAGUUAACAGUAUUUAGUACGUGUUAAGUGAUGAGUAAUGAAUAAAUAUUUCAUAGGGA
rnacentral:lncRNA from 1 species